UGCCAGCCGCCGCGGUAAUACGUAAGUCGCAAGCGUUAUCCGGAAUUAUUGGGCGUAAAGCGUCCGUAGGCGGUUUUAUAAGUCUGUAGUUAAAUCCCAGGGCUCAACCCUGGAAUCGUUAUGGAAACUAUAAAACUUGAGGUAUGCAGGGGUAGAUGGAAUUCCAGAAGUAGGGGUAAAAUCCGUAGAUCUCUGGAGGAACACCAAAAGCGAAGGCAUUCUACUGGGCAUUACCUGACGCUAAAGGACGAAAGUCCGUGGAGCAAAAGGUAUUAGAUA
rnacentral:rRNA from 1 species